rnacentral:rRNA from 1 species
GAUGAACGCUGGCGGCGUGCCUAAUACAUGCAAGUCGAGCGAACAGACGAGGAGCUUGCUCCUUUGAUGUUAGCGGCGGACGGGUGAGUAACACGUAGGUAAACUACCUAUAAGACUGGGAUAACUUCGGGAAACCGGAGCUAAUACAGAAUAAUAUUUCGAACCGCAGGGUUUGAUAGUGAAAGAUGGCUUUGCUAUCACUUAUAGAUGGACCUGCGCCGGAUUAGCUUGUUGGUAAGGUAACGGCUUACCAAGGCAACGAUAAGUAGCCGAACUGAGAGGAUGAUCGGCCACACUGGAACUGAGACACGGUCCAGACUCCUACGGGAGGCAGCAGUAGGGAAUCUUGCGCAAUGGGCGAAAGCCUGACGGAGCAACGCCGCGUGAGUGAUGAAGGUCUUCGGAUCGUAAAACUCUGUUAUUAGGGAAGAACAAACGUGUAAGUAACUGUGCACGUCUUGACGGUACCUGAACAGAAAGCCACGGCUAACUACGUGCCAGCCGCCGCGGUAA